UACGGAGGGUGCAAGCGUUGUUCGGAUUUACUGGGCGUAAAGGGCGCGUAGGCGGUCAGCACAAGUCAGUUGUGAAAUCUCCGGGCUUAACUCGGAAAGGUCAACUGAUACUGUGCGACUAGAGUGCAGAAGGGGCAACUGGAAUUCUCGGUGUAGCGGUGAAAUGCGCAGAUAUCAGGAAGAACACCUAUGGCGAAGGCAGCUCUCUGGGACGGUACUGACGCUGAGACGCGAAAGCGUGGGGAGCGAACAGG
rnacentral:rRNA from 1 species